GACGAACGCUGGCGGCGUGCUUAACACAUGCAAGUCGAACGGAAAGGCCCUGCUUUUGUGGGGUGCUCGAGUGGCGAACGGGUGAGUAACACGUGAGUAACCUGCCCUUGACUUUGGGAUAACUUCAGGAAACUGGGGCUAAUACCGGAUAGGAGCUCCUGCUGCAUGGUGGGGGUUGGAAAGUUUCGGCGGUUGGGGAUGGACUCGCGGCUUAUCAGCUUGUUGGUGGGGUAGUGGCGUACCAAGGCUUUGACGGGUAGCCGGCCUGAGAGGGUGACCGGCGACAUUGGGACUGCGAUAGGGCGCAGUAUCGUACGGGAGGCAGCGGUGGGGAGUAUGGCGGAAUGGGGGCAAGCGUGAUGCAGAAAUGCCGCGUGCGGGAUGACGGCCUUCGGGUGGUAAACCGCUUUCGCCUGUGACGAAGCGUGAGUGACGGUAAUGGGUAAAGAAGCACCGGCUAACUACGUG
rnacentral:rRNA from 1 species